rnacentral:tRNA from 1 species
UGUAUUUUAGUAUAAAAUGUACGUUGAAUUUUGAUUUCUUAAGAAGUAACUUAAAGUUGCUAAAUACAG